rnacentral:rRNA from 1 species
UGAGGUUAAGCGACUAAGCGUACACGGUGGAUGCCCUGGCAGUCAGAGGCGAUGAAGGACGUGCUAAUCUGCGAUAAGCGUCGGUAAGGUGAUAUGAACCGUUAUAACCGGCGAUUUCCGAAUGGGGAAACCCAGUGUGUUUCGACACACUAUCAUUAACUGAAUCCAUAGGUUAAUGAGGCGAACCGGGGGAACUGAAACAUCUAAGUACCCCGAGGAAAAGAAAUCAACCGAGAUUCCCCCAGUAGCGGCGAGCGAACGGGGAGCAGCCCAGAGCCUGAAUCAGUGUGUGUGUUAGUGGAAGCGUCUGGAAAGGCGCGCGAUACAGGGUGACAGCCCCGUACACAAAAAUGCACAUGCUGUGAGCUCGAUGAGUAGGGCGGGACACGUGGUAUCCUGUCUGAAUAUGGGGGGACCAUCCUCCAAGGCUAAAUACUCCUGACUGACCGAUAGUGAACCAGUACCGUGAGGGAAAGGCGAAAAGAACCCCGGCGAGGGGAGUGAAAAAGAACCUGAAACCGUGUACGUACAAGCAGUGGGAGCACGCUUAGGCGUGUGACUGCGUACCUUUUGUAUAAUGGGUCAGCGACUUAUAUUCUGUAGCAAGGUUAACCGAAUAGGGGAGCCGAAGGGAAACCGAGUCUUAACUGGGCGUUAAGUUGCAGGGUAUAGACCCGAAACCCGGUGAUCUAGCCAUGGGCAGGUUGAAGGUUGGGUAACACUAACUGGAGGACCGAACCGACUAAUGUUGAAAAAUUAGCGGAUGACUUGUGGCUGGGGGUGAAAGGCCAAUCAAACCGGGAGAUAGCUGGUUCUCCCCGAAAGCUAUUUAGGUAGCGCCUCGUGAAUUCAUCUCCGGGGGUAGAGCACUGUUUCGGCAAGGGGGUCAUCCCGACUUACCAACCCGAUGCAAACUGCGAAUACCGGAGAAUGUUAUCACGGGAGACACACGGCGGGUGCUAACGUCCGUCGUGAAGAGGGAAACAACCCAGACCGCCAGCUAAGGUCCCAAAGUCAUGGUUAAGUGGGAAACGAUGUGGGAAGGCCCAGACAGCCAGGAUGUUGGCUUAGAAGCAGCCAUCAUUUAAAGAAAGCGUAAUAGCUCACUGGUCGAGUCGGCCUGCGCGGAAGAUGUAACGGGGCUAAACCAUGCACCGAAGCUGCGGCAGCGACGCUUAUGCGUUGUUGGGUAGGGGAGCGUUCUGUAAGCCUGCGAAGGUGUGCUGUGAGGCAUGCUGGAGGUAUCAGAAGUGCGAAUGCUGACAUAAGUAACGAUAAAGCGGGUGAAAAGCCCGCUCGCCGGAAGACCAAGGGUUCCUGUCCAACGUUAAUCGGGGCAGGGUGAGUCGACCCCUAAGGCGAGGCCGAAAGGCGUAGUCGAUGGGAAACAGGUUAAUAUUCCUGUACUUGGUGUUACUGCGAAGGGGGGACGGAGAAGGCUAUGUUGGCCGGGCGACGGUUGUCCCGGUUUAAGCGUGUAGGCUGGUUUUCCAGGCAAAUCCGGAAAAUCAAGGCUGAGGCGUGAUGACGAGGCACUACGGUGCUGAAGCAACAAAUGCCCUGCUUCCAGGAAAAGCCUCUAAGCAUCAGGUAACAUCAAAUCGUACCCCAAACCGACACAGGUGGUCAGGUAGAGAAUACCAAGGCGCUUGAGAGAACUCGGGUGAAGGAACUAGGCAAAAUGGUGCCGUAACUUCGGGAGAAGGCACGCUGAUAUGUAGGUGAAGCGACUUGCUCGUGGAGCUGAAAUCAGUCGAAGAUACCAGCUGGCUGCAACUGUUUAUUAAAAACACAGCACUGUGCAAACACGAAAGUGGACGUAUACGGUGUGACGCCUGCCCGGUGCCGGAAGGUUAAUUGAUGGGGUUAGCGCAAGCGAAGCUCUUGAUCGAAGCCCCGGUAAACGGCGGCCGUAACUAUAACGGUCCUAAGGUAGCGAAAUUCCUUGUCGGGUAAGUUCCGACCUGCACGAAUGGCGUAAUGAUGGCCAGGCUGUCUCCACCCGAGACUCAGUGAAAUUGAACUCGCUGUGAAGAUGCAGUGUACCCGCGGCAAGACGGAAAGACCCCGUGAACCUUUACUAUAGCUUGACACUGAACAUUGAGCCUUGAUGUGUAGGAUAGGUGGGAGGCUUAGAAGUGUGGACGCCAGUCUGCAUGGAGCCGACCUUGAAAUACCACCCUUUAAUGUUUGAUGUUCUAACGUUGACCCGUAAUCCGGGUUGCGGACAGUGUCUGGUGGGUAGUUUGACUGGGGCGGUCUCCUCCUAAAGAGUAACGGAGGAGCACGAAGGUUGGCUAAUCCUGGUCGGACAUCAGGAGGUUAGUGCAAUGGCAUAAGCCAGCUUGACUGCGAGCGUGACGGCGCGAGCAGGUGCGAAAGCAGGUCAUAGUGAUCCGGUGGUUCUGAAUGGAAGGGCCAUCGCUCAACGGAUAAAAGGUACUCCGGGGAUAACAGGCUGAUACCGCCCAAGAGUUCAUAUCGACGGCGGUGUUUGGCACCUCGAUGUCGGCUCAUCACAUCCUGGGGCUGAAGUAGGUCCCAAGGGUAUGGCUGUUCGCCAUUUAAAGUGGUACGCGAGCUGGGUUUAGAACGUCGUGAGACAGUUCGGUCCCUAUCUGCCGUGGGCGCUGGAGAACUGAGGGGGGCUGCUCCUAGUACGAGAGGACCGGAGUGGACGCAUCACUGGUGUUCGGGUUGUCAUGCCAAUGGCACUGCCCGGUAGCUAAAUGCGGAAGAGAUAAGUGCUGAAAGCAUCUAAGCACGAAACUUGCCCCGAGAUGAGUUCUCCCUGACCCUUUAAGGGUCCUGAAGGAACGUUGAAGACGACGACGUUGAUAGGCCGGGUGUGUAAGCGCAGCGAUGCGUUGAGCUAACCGGUACUAAUGAACCGUGAGGCUUAACCUU